GUCUUACCAGACAUGGUUAG
rnacentral:miRNA from 1 species